rnacentral:misc_RNA from 1 species
GAUGAAGAACGCAGCGAAAUGCGAUAAGUAGUGUGAAUUGCAGAAUUCAGUGAAUCAUCGAAUCUUUGAACGCACAUUGCGCCCCUUGGUAUUCCAUGGGGCAUGCCUGUUCGAGCGUCAUUUGUACCUUCAAGCUCUGCUUGGUGUUGGGUGUUUGUCUCGCCUCUGCGUGUAGACUCGCCUCAAAACAAUUGGCAGCCGGCGUAUUGAUUUCGGAGCGCAGUACAUCUCGCGCUUUUCACUCAUAACGACGACGUCCAAAAGUACAUUUUUACACUCUUGACCUCGGAUCAGGUAGGGAUACCCGCUGAACUUAAGCAUAUCAAUAAGCGGAGGA